rnacentral:snRNA from 1 species
AACAGUGUGUUCGACCCAGAGGGAACUAUUCUUUCGCCUUUAUUAAAAAAUACCGUGUGCGGGACACACAAGCGGCUUGUUCAAAUUUUGGAAUGCUCCUUCGUUGGAGCAC